rnacentral:lncRNA from 1 species
CUCACUAGGACAUGGGAUAUCUCCAACUCAGGGAAAAGUUCUUUAAGGAGUCUGGUCAUCAGGGCUGUGAGGGAAAGGACAAGCAGAGGCAGGGACAAAUGGUCGCAACUGGACAUCAGAAGAAGAGAAGGACUAAAGCAUCUGAGGUCCUGUAGUUUAGUUUACCGACAACAUCUCCUAUAAUCACUAGAGAAAAAUUGAAAUACUAUCAAAAUUAAGACCCAAACUGGCUACGGGACAAGUGUUUGGCACAGACAUGAACAUGGAUGGAACAAAGAAGAUUAAAGGACAAGUAAGGCCACCAGGAAUUCUUGGUAGGUUUCCAUUGCCUCUGAGGCCCUGUUUGGAGGCAAGUAAAGGAUUUUAGGCUGGUUAUUUGUAAUAGAAAUUAUUGU